rnacentral:rRNA from 2 species
UGAGGAAUAUUGGUCAAUGGGCGUAAGCCUGAACCAGCCAAGUCGCGUGAGGGAUGAAGGUUCUAUGGAUCGUAAACCUCUUUUAUAAGGGAAUAAAGUGCGGGACGUGUCCCGUUUUGUAUGUACCUUAUGAAUAAGGAUCGGCUAACUCCGUGCCAGCAGCCGCGGUAAUACGGAGGAUCCGAGCGUUAUCCGGAUUUAUUGGGUUUAAAGGGUGCGUAGGCGGCCUUUUAAGUCAGCGGUGAAAGUCUGUGGCUCAACCAUAGAAUUGCCGUUGAAACUGGGGGGCUUGAGUAUGUUUGAGGCAGGCGGAAUGCGUGGUGUAGCGGUGAAAUGCUUAGAUAUCACGCAGAACCCCGAUUGCGAAGGCAGCCUGCCAAGCCAUGACUGACGCUGAUGCACGAAAGCGUGGGGAUCAAACAGG